GACGGAGGGUGCAAGCGUUGUUCGGAUUGACUGGGCGUAAAGCGCGUGUAGGUGGCGAUGUAAGUCGGGUGUGAAAUCCCUCGGCUCAACCGAGGAAGUGCACUCGAUACUGCGUUGCUUGAGUGUUGGAGGGGAUGGCGGAAUUCCCGGUGUAGAGGUGAAAUUCGUAGAUGUCGGGAGGAACACCUGUGGCGAAGGCGGCCAUCUGGACAACUACUGACACUGAGACGCGAAAGCGUGGGUAGCAAACAGG
rnacentral:rRNA from 1 species